rnacentral:tRNA from 1 species
UGGACCAUUAGCUCAGUGGAUAGAGUGCUGGACUUCGAAUCCAGGCGUCGGCGGUUCGAAUCCGUCAUGGUUCAU